GGGUCGUUGCUCAGUUGGUAGAGCAGUUGACUUUUAAUCAAUUGGUCGCAGGUUCGAAUCCUGCACGACCCACCA
rnacentral:tRNA from 1 species